GGGCUCUUGGCACAGGGGUAGCGCGCACGCUUUGCAUUGAUUAUGCUUGCGUGAGGUCGUGGGUUCAAAUCCCACAGUGUCCA
rnacentral:tRNA from 1 species